AAAGAAGUAAUUUAAAAAAAAUAUUUUGUUUCAAACUAAAAAAUAAACAUUAACUUGUUUCUUCUUUG
rnacentral:tRNA from 1 species